AACGGUCUAUACCUGCGGUACCUGCGGAAGGAUCAUUAAUGAAUAACUAUGGUGUCUUGGUUGUAGCUGGCUCUUCGGAGCAAUGUGCACGCCCGCCAUUUUUAUCUAUCCACCUGUGCACCGACUGUAGGUCUGGAUAACUCUCGCUACUUCUCCUUUACUGGAGAGGUGCGGAUGCGAGGAUUGCUCGUAAGGGCUCUCUUCGAAUUUCCAGGCUCUACGUCUUUUACACACCCCAAU
rnacentral:misc_RNA from 1 species